UCGUUUUACAUGGGGCCCUCGGCGUUCACGGUGCACUACUACGGUCAGGACGUGUACUUAAUAUUUAAAGCGCAAGAGGCAGUUACUUUAAGAAAGAACUUUCGAAUAAUUGGAAGCCCCUUGGGGACUCAUCCAUGUUUCCCUCAACAAAAUGACUUUCUCUCAUUACCUUUAAAGCUCCUUCCUGAACAAGCUUACGUUUUGGAUCAAUUAGGUGCCUUGUGCUUACUUUCUGAAAUUGAAGAAAUGACUUUUAAGUUUUGAUAAGGAGACUGGGAUUGGGCCCGAGGAAGCCUUGUGUUAUUGGCCCUCUUGCCCGCCCGCUAGCCAAAAGGUUCUCUUGGCUGAUUAUUACCCUGCAAGCGGCAGUGAGCGUCAGAAAGCUUUCCUUUUUUGCGAUCUUUGGAAAUGUAAUUAUUAUGUCUUGUGUGGAAUCAAGUUUGGGUGCACUUAUCUUGCUUACAAAGACGAUCCCGCUGUUAGCCACGCACAUUUUAUGGUCACGGUUGUUGGCUACGACCAACCCAUCAAGUGUACCGAUAUUAUGGGAAAAACUAGACUAGCCACCACUGUCGGGAAGCGCCACAUCUUCGGCUCAAUCUCACCUUUGGGUACGGACGUCUUAUAUAUAUGCAUAGUCCGGCCUUCCUUCGAUCAGAGGUUGGAUCUCGACUGCGACUAAGUCAAAUCAGUUCAGGAUUUGCGCACUGAAAUUAAAACUACCUCCGGAUGCUUGCAUAAAAAAAAAAAUAGGCUUACAACACGCGGUUUCAACGACAACAAGAUAUAGAUUGUCGCCAAUACUACCUAAAGACACCUUCAGCUUGCUACUGCUUUAUUGUAUAAUAUGCCAAUUCGAGAGGCCAAUAUAACCACAGUUAUUUUGCACACUAACUUAUA